UUGGAUYCUGGUAUGAAUGAUUUCACACYUAACUUCUGUCUUUUAUCAAAACAUAAAAAUUAGAGUCCGGGUAAAAAUACCCAGAUUUUUUAAAAAGACGAUAAGACCCUAAAAGCUUUAAAUUUAAUUAGUGUUUARURUAUUAAGAAGAAUUUUUAACUGGGGUAGUUGUAUUUUAGAUUAUUUAAGAUAAAGACUUUGUGUUUAUAUUCCUUAAUAUUAGGAUUUAAAUAAGUUACUUUAGGGAUAACAGCGUAAUAGUGUUGGUGAGAACUUAUCUAUAACACUGAUUACGACCUCGAUGUUGAAUUAAUAUAUCUUUUUAAAGCAGGUUUUAAGGGAGAGGGUUUGUUCAACCUUUAAU
rnacentral:rRNA from 1 species